rnacentral:rRNA from 1 species
CGGCCAUUGAUACUGUUAGGCUUGAAUUAUUAGGAAGUAACUAGAAUAUGUAGUGUAGCGGUGAAAUGCUUAGAGAUUACAUGGAAUACCAAUUGCGAAGGCAGGUUACUACUAAUUGAUUGACGCUGAUGGACGAAAGCGUGGGUAGCGAACAGGAUUAGAUACCCUGGUAGUCCACGCCGUAAACGAUGGACACUAGCUGUUGGGAGCAAUCUCAGUGGCUAAGCGAAAGUGAUAAGUAUCCCACCUGGGGAGUACGUUCGCAAGAAUGAAACUCAAAGGAAUUGACGGGGGCCCGCACAAGCGGUGGAGCAUGUGGUUUAAUUCGAUGAUACGCGAGGAACCUUACCAAGGCUUAAAUGUAGAUUGACCGAUUUGGAAACAGAUUUUUCGCAAGACAAUUUACAAGGUGCUGCAUGGUUGUCGUCAGCUCGUGCCGUGAGGUGUCAGGUUAAGUCCUAUAACGAGCGCAACCCCUGUUGUUAGUUGCCAGCGAGUCAAGUCGGGAACUCUAACAAGACUGCCAGUGCAAACUGUGAGGAAGGUGGGGAUGACGUCAAAUCAUCACGGCCCUUACGCCUUGGGCUACACACGUGCUACAAUGGACGG